GUGUCAGCCGCCGCGGUAAUACGGAGGGUGCAAGCGUUGCUCGGAAUUAUUGGGCGUAAAGGGUAGGUAGGUGGUCUCAUUUGUCUGAGGUGAAAGCCUUGAGCUUAACUCAAGAAGUGCCUCAGAAACGGUGAGACUAGAGUCCUGGAGAGGGUCGUGGAAUUCCCGGUGUAGCGGUGAAAUGCGUAGAGAUCGGGAGGAACACCAGAGGCGAAAGCGGCGACCUGGACAGGAACUGACACUCAACUACGAAAGCGUGGGGAGCAAACAGGAUUAGAUACCCCUGUAGUCC
rnacentral:rRNA from 1 species